GACGAACCGUGCGAACGUUAUUCGGAAUCACUGGGCUUAAAGCGCGUGUAGGCGGAUGGGAACGUCGGCUUCUGAAAGCCCCCGGCUCAACCGGGGAAGUGGGGCCGAAACGACCCGUCUCGAGGGACGUAGGGGGAUCUGGAACUUCCGGUGGAGCGGUGAAAUGCGUUGAGAUCGGGCGGAACACCAGCGGCGAAGGCGGCAUCCUGGUCCUGUUCUGACGCUGAGGCGCGAGAGCGUGGGGAGCAAACUGG
rnacentral:rRNA from 1 species